CCCAGCCCCGGCUGCAGAAGUGCACUCGCCUCUUGUCCCCGUCUCCUUCUCCAGCCCUUCAGCUUGUGCUGCAGGCACAAGCCUGGCACACAGGCAGUGCAGCCACGGCAGACCUGGAUCCCAUGCAGCCCAGCCUGGCCCACCAUGCAUCAGGGGAACCCAAGGCACUCAUUCUCCUGCCAGCCGACAGAGCACCCCGAAAGGACAGAGAGGAGCCACAGACAUGGAUGCCCUGGGCCCUACUGUUUGCCCGCUGAGCCCUGCACCAUUCUUGCACCUGGAUGUGUUGGGCAUGGGAAUGCAUCCGACCUGGGGUCAGAAGCACAGGAGGGCACGGGACCUGUCUGUCCACACCCCAGAUGCACACAGCUCUCCCCUGUUGUGUGGUCUCAGGAGCCUUUCAUAGACUAUGGUGGCUGAUGGCAGCAUGGCUCUUAGGGACACCCAUGAGCCACGCUAGGCCUGCCCUUCCUCAGCAUGUCCCCAGACCUUGGAGAGUCUGCCAAGCUGCAGCGAAGCCAGCUCCUGUGAAGUCCCCUGCGUGGAUGGGAGCUACUCCUCUCAGUGACCAGGACAUCUUGCCAAGCAGGAAGCUCCCUUGUUGCAUAAGUGGUGUCCCAGUGGGAGAUUCCCUGACAUCACUGUUCUCUUGC
rnacentral:lncRNA from 1 species